GGUUUGGUUCCUUGAAACCAUGAUUUGGUUUUCAUAACCUUCGGUGUGUUGUUUUGAUUAGGUUCUGAGCCUUAUCGAAUAAGUGUUUAUGUGUUUUCCUGAUAUGACAUGCUUUAGUAAAAUGUCCAUAUCUCCCAAUUGCACCGUCGGAUCGGGCCGCCGUUCGGAUAUGUUGUUCCUGAGAGGAUUUACUAAAAUCUGGUCGGUCGGAUCGUGUUUUUAUUGAGUUCGCGGGCGCAAACUAUAGUUAGCGGUCGCUAACUAAUGCUGUUGAAGUUAGCGGGUGCGAACUAUACUUAGCGGGCGCGAACUUGCACUGUUCAGUUCGUUGUUUUUCUAUUUAAAGACCCCUUAUUCGACCUAAACUCUUUUCCUUCGACUUUUAAAACCCUAAAACGGCUGGAGUCAUAUUCUAACUCACUCCUAUCAACAUUCCUCUCAAUUUUAAUCCUUGGCUGAUUUGGGUUGAUUGAUUUCUGGGUUUUAUUGUUCUUAGUCUAAUCAAGAGACCCGUCGACUGCUCGUGCUUCGGAGUCUACGCAGGGUUAGCUGUUUGCCAAGAUUUACGUGGAUAAGCAAGCGGGUUAUGAUUUUGAGCGAGUCAGCUGGUCUCCGAUUCUUUAUUUCCUCGGAGGUCUUAUUUUUAUUAAAGUUAUUAAAUUGAUUUUAUUCUUAGACCGCAGUAGUAAUUAGAAGUCUUAUUUGUCUAAUACUUGUUAUACAAUUAUUCAAUUGAUUUAUAUA